AUUGAACGCUGGCGGCCGGCCUAACACAUGCAAGUCGAGCGGAGCGGCGGACGGGCGAGUAAUGCCUAGGUAUCUGCCUGGUCGUGGGGGAUAACGUCCGGAAACGGGCCCUCAUACCGCCUCCUAUCAGAUGAGCCUAGGUCGGAUUAGCCAUUUGGUGGGGUAACGGCCUACAAAGGCGACGAUCCUUAACUGGUCUGAGAGGAUGAUCAGUCAGGCUGGAACUAGGACACGGUCCAGACUCCUACGGGAGGCAGAAGUGGGGAAUAUUGGACAAGGGACGAAAGCCUGAUCCAGGCAUGCCGCGGGUUUGAAGAAGGUCUUAGGAGUGUAAAGCACUUUAAGUUGGAAGGCGUUACCAAAAGAAUAAGCACAGGCUAACUGCGUGCCAGCAGCCGCGGUAAUUC
rnacentral:rRNA from 1 species